CUUGCAGAGCUCAGCCAAUCCCGGGUGACAGUACGGCAGAUGGGGUGGGACCAGGCCCGGUGCUGGCCGCUGAUGGGCAGAGACAGCCAAUGAAUGCGGAGGUGGAGGAGAAGCCGGUGGGAGCCGCUGCUGUCCCCCAAAGCUAGUGGCUGGGACGACUCUCAGGCCCCCAGCUUGGAAAGCUUUCCCAGCUUCGCCUAGAGGCUUCCGACCUCCUGCUUCCUCUGUGCGGAACAACUGAGAACAGCUGAACGCGCCUCAUUAGCACUCAGGACCGAUCCACCCAUUUCCUCCUGCCACCCCCAAACGCCAGACUCUUGAGCUUCUUGCAACAACACAAAGUAGGAACAGAUAGAAUGCCCGGGCUUACUCACACCUGCUUAAGAAAAGACCCCUCCCCUUUACCCAGACUCCCCUGCCUGCCUGUGGAAGGGCAGCCCACCCUUUAGUCGCCGCUGGGAGCACCUUCCCCGCGCCUGGGAGCCUGGGGGUCAGCAGCAGUUACAGAGGUAAGAGACAGGGAAGUGGCCCGAGGAAGAUAGCCCUGGGUGAGGAUGGAGGGAAGUGGAAAAUGCCCGACUCCAGGGGUCAGUGAUCGAUUGAUAGUCUGUGUGGGUAACACUCUUCGGGAUAAGAUAGAAAAGGUACUUCCUGACAUCCCUCGAGAAAAGAGGUUCAGGUCGGAAGAUGUUUUGAGUGAGUUUGAAGGAUUUGCUGAUGGAGUGGAUGCUGGAGAAGAAGAGGCUAGAGAAUUAGAGAGACAAUGGCCUCAAAUGAAGAGAAAGGAGUUUUCCCUAGGAGAAGCCCCAAAGAAGGCCAAGUAACAAGCUAAGCCUCCAGAGAAACACUCCUAUUUUCUGAAUGGUCCAUCAAAAUAGCAUGCACCUGUGGAGGCAGAGCAAGCUAAAGAGUGACAGAGCCAUGCAUUGCACCCAGCAGUGCUGGAAAAACCUUGAUCCGAAGUGAGCCCAGGCCCAAGGCAAUAGAAGAUGCCCUUUUCCAGUUCAAUGCCAGGGAAUGCAGCUGAACCACACACUCAAAGGGAAAGUCCUGGCUUUGCCUGGUUUUUCCAGGCCCUUAAAUGGAAGCACCAUGAAUUUUUCAAGGCCUGACCUGCUCAGUAGGCAGCAAUGGAGAGUUCAGGAAAACAGUGUGUUACUGCAUGAUGAGCUGGAGGUCAAGCUGGCCUUGGAUUUUACCAAAAGGCAUCAGCUAACAUAUGGAUAGUCCUUGUUUUUUUUCUGGGCCCCAGGUCCCCUCUCUGUCAUGGAGCACUGAAGAAGCCACCAUCUUCUCAACAUGUCCCAGGAGCGCUACUUAGUUUUGGUUUUCCCAGUGACCCUCAGAGGGAAUUAUUAGCUCAUUGUAAGAUGAAAUCCAGAGCCCGGGUUCCCUGGAAGCACCCAUGGCCCGUACAUUUGGAAUGGUCAGUGGAGUGGUUCUCCUGGUCAUCGUGGGGCUCGUUGGCAUCUACUGGUCCAGGCUGGUCUCGGCUGCCCCACAUGGCUGUCAUCCUCCAUCAGGCCAGCCCAAGUGUGUUCUCAUGACUACAGCUAGGGCGCACAAGAGAAAGCAAGCACACUGAUUGCACAAGAGUUUGGGUUGUCGCUGUUCAAGCUCUUGCUUACACAUCUUUGUCACCAUUCCCUUGACCAGAGAAAGCUCUAUUGCCAAGGCCAAAGUCAAAGCCAGAGGAUGCUGAAAGCCAAGGGUGACAAAGUGUGAUGGGGCCAGGUGAGGUUCAGUGGCUGAGCACCUGCUCUGCAUGUGCAAGGCCCCGGAUUCAAUCCCCAGCACUGACAUGCGUAUACUGGAGACCACUUUUACCAUCUACUUCUAAACCUAGGCAAUUCCAGUCACUGCUCCUGCAUUUUUUUUUUUUUGUACAUGACUAUGUCUGCACUGUAAGGUGGCCGAGGUGAUAGCUAAGUGUUCUUUCUGCAAGUGUAUCUCACAUGCCCAGGGGUGUCUGCACACACCAGCUGAAGAAACACAGAUGAACUCAGAUCCUAUUUCCAGAGCCCUGAAAAUUUCCCACAAGCCCUCGGAGGUGAGCCAGCCUGGUUGCUGACAUGAUAAACAAGAACCGCAGGAAGAGAAUAAAUCAAGGCAGAAAACAAUGAGUCCAUGAUGUAAUUAAAGUUACUGUGAAAGAACCUCUGAAGGAGAGAAUGAGUCAACCUCAGAUGUAAGCUGUGAAUCAGGGAGUGCCAUGUUGGAGAGUUCUUGGCUAUUUCCAGAAAGCCUGAUGUCCCUGCUGAAAGAGCACCUUGAGCCCCACGACAUCUGGAAGGGAAACGCUCCUGUCAUUCUAAUGCCUCUUCUGUGGCCGCCACAGGCAGUGGGAGCAACAGGGGGAACAGGCAGAAGACAGUCAACACUGAAAUCUCUCCAGGGAGAAAUGGAUAGAUAAAGCAUUGCUCAAAAGUGCUCAAGGGUACUUUAGUUUCACGGAGCGGAUUUGAACAAGGUCACUGAAAAUAUAACCACCAUAAACGUACAUAAACCAGAGUCAGAUAUUCAAACCACACUCUGUGUAAAUUCUGAGAAGGGGUGUGUGUGUGCCCAUGCAUGUGAAAGAGAGCGACCUUAGGUGUCAUUGCUCAGGGACCAUCCACUUUUUAAAGAUUUAUUAUAUGUACUUGGAAAUGCCUGAAUGUGUGUAUGUACAUUACAUAUGCCUGCUGCCCAUGAAAACCAGAUGUCAGAUGCCCUGGAACUGGAGUUACUGUUGUGAACUGCCAUGGGGGUGCUGGGAACCAAACCUGGGUCCUUUGCAAAAGCAGCAAGUGCUCUUAACUACUAAACCAUCUCUAAUCCCUAUCUACUUUUAAUUAAAAAAAAAAAAAAGACAGACUCUCUCAAUGUCCUGGAGCUCACCAAGUAGGAUAGGCUGGCUGGACACUGGCAUUGGGAUCACAAGUAUAUGCCAUUACACUUGGCAGGUUUUUUUUAAGAUUCUAGGAACUGAACUCAAGUCAACAUGCUGGCAACGUUGGCAAGGGAGAGGCAGCCCCUUGGAGUCAGUGCAGAACACACCCAGACACCAAAUUCUCAGCACAAAGGAGAUUUAUUACCCUGGAGGGGCAAGUGGGGUAGGGUGGGCUGCCUCUGGAUCUGGCAGAGGCGGACAGCAAGCAGCAGCAGCAGCGGGUGUUUUUUUGCAGGAGUGGGGUUUUAAGCAGAAAAAGGGAGAGUCUAUGCUAGGGUGAGUUGGUAAGUCCUGAUUGCACAGGUUAGCCAAAUAAUGGAUUCUGGUUGUUGGACCUUGGUGUUUUGUCUCAGGAGUGAAUCAGUGGCCAGAUAAGGGAAUGGACCUUGGGGGCUAGCUUUAGGAAGGUAACCUAAUGGUUUUUAGCAAAGGGAGAGAGAAGGGUAAAGGGCAAAACCUGUUGGUACCAUGUUCCCAUGCUCGAGCCUGUUAGAGAGCCCUGAGGCGGAGCAAGUACUUUAUUGACUGAGAAUUCAGGUAAGUUUAUGAACUAAAACCAGAAAUGCCUUAAAAUGUAAAACAGCACAUUAGAACAGAGCAGGUUCCAAGUGGGAGUUACAAACCUAGAAGACAGAUGUCUAGAAGGUUCAGAGACUUCCACACAGGCAUAAGAUUGCAGGCCUGGAAGGGAAAUUGACUCACCCUGCAUGGAGGCAGGGUUUGGUUGGACAGCGUCCCUGAAGUCAUCAAAGAGACUUCAAUGGAGAGGAGAACUGAUAUCCAGAGGUGCCAUAGACUCAGACACAGGUCAGGCAGGACCCUCCUAACUCCCAGGCCCGUCCCCAGCUUUAUUGAGGUGUCAUUAAUAAGCUAUGCUAUACAGUGUAAUGUGUUGAUGUGUGAACCUAGUGUGAAACAUUUGCCAGAGUCAACGGAGUUAGAAUCCAGCACCUCACACUUUUUCCAUGGUGUGUGUGUGGUGUGCAUGAGAGUGUACAUGUUUUUGAACAUAAGUGAGCACAUAUGCAUGUGCAUGCAGUAGCCCAAGAUUGAUGUCAGGAAUCAUCCGUGAUCACUCUUACACCUUAUUCAUUAAGGUCUCUCAGUCAAACUAGAGUGUACUGAUAGGGCUAGGCUUGGCAGCCAGCCUGCUCUGGGGAUCUUGUCUCCCCUUCUGAGUUAGAAUUACAAGCAGGCCACCAAGGUCACUCUGCAUUUACAUGAGUUUCUGGAAUUGGGGUUCCAUAGAAGCCAGAAGAGGGUGUCAAAUCUCUUGGAGCUGGAGUUACUGGCAAUUGUGAGCCAUUAGAUACCGGCGUAGGACUCCUUGGUUCUCUUGUUCAAACUGACAGAGAACCAUAUUCGUAUUAUUGGUAAACGCAUUGAAAUUUUUAAUUAUGGCCAGCUGGUGGUGCUACCAUCCCAGCACUUGGGAGGCAGAGGCUGGAGGAUCUCUGUGAGGCCAGCCUGGUCCACAGAGCAAGUUCCCGGACAGCCAGGGCUGGUGCCCAGAGAAACCCUGUCUUGGCAAAAAAAAAAAAAAGUCUGUUAAAAAAUAACACUGGAUAUUUACUGAGAGGCUGUGGUAGUCUGAAUGUAAUUCUGAAUGUAAUUGGCCCCCAUAAUCUCUAGGGAGUGGCACUAUUAGGAGGUGUGGCUUUGUUGGAGUGGGUAUGGCCUUGUUGGAGGAAGUGUAUCACUGUUGGGGGCGGGCUUUGAGGUUUCCUAUGCUCAGGAUACCACCAGUGUUUCAGUCAGCUUCCUGUUGCCUGCAAGCCAAGAUGUAGCCAGCACCACCUCUGCCUGCAGGCCACCAUGCUCCCUGCCACAAUGAUAAUGGACUGAACCUCUGAAACUAUAAGUGAGCCACCCCAAUUAAAUGUUUUCUUGAUAAGAGUUGCUGUGGUCAUGGUGUCUCUUCACAGCAAUAGAAACCCUAACUAAGACAGAGGCAGUAUGUUUUGGGUGUCUUGGACAGCCUUGGCCAACAACUCAAAAGAGAGUUUCUUACAGCUGGUAUUGGUAUUUUUGUUAGGUAGCUCUUGGAGGGAGCACCAUCAGUCAAGAUGAGAAAAGUUUAUUGAAACUGUAUAUGUGUAUAUAUACAUGGAAUUCUGUGUGGUAAAGGUUUGUCUUUUUAGAUAAAUAGUAGUAUUCCCUGC